GAAAGCGAAGGUGGUCUUGACGUCUGGUCCACGAUGGUUUAUUUACCAUGUAUCAAUAAACCAUCGCGGACAGACGACACGAGCACCUUCACCUUC
rnacentral:pre_miRNA from 1 species